UAUUGCCCACCACAAGGUGGGCAUAUCGGAGGGAGAUCCACUCGUUUGGCGACAUCGCCAAACAAGCGGAUCUAUCCAUGUAUGGCCACCUUUACUUUCUUUGGACAAUUUAUCUUUUCUACAGGAGCCAUGCUGGAAUCAGGAGGAACAAUAAACCGUGCAACAGGCUUUGUUUUGAGUUCAAAGCCUCGCGUUUCACCUAGUCUUCUUGUUGGAAAGGAAAUUACUGCUCUUGCCCUCCUGCUUGUUUGUGAGAUGUGUGUCUGGUAUAUAUUGGGCUACGUAACUACAUUUGUUCUUUCCAGGCUGCAUGAAGGUGAGCGCACGAGACUGGCGAUACUGGGCUGUUGAAGUCACCUAAUGGGAAAUGGAACUGUGGAAAAUGGAAAGGGAAGGGCCUGUAAUUUAUGGUGAAGCAAUUUGUCCGCUUGGCCCUGUGGCAUUAUAAAUGUUCAACUAUUCUGUGCACCUCCAUUUCUUGGCAUGUUGGGUGUUGCUGUGUACCCCUACAUGUAAUGUACAGAGGUAGAUUAUGCCCACGGUGCUAUGUCUUCGGUGCCAUUCCCUCUCUUGGGCUGGUUCUAUCCUCAAUCACUGGGACACUUUGAGCCAGUAUUUGACUCUAACUUUAGAGCUACAUCUGUCUCUGCAACUCACCGGUGUGGGGGACUUUUUAGGGUUGUUUCUCACUGAGUUAAUGUCAGAAUGUAGUUGCAUUGUAGCAAGUCACUGCGAUUUCAUAGCCUAAAAUAAGUGUCCCCCUAAUAUUUCGUCUAUUUAUUGCAGGCUUUACAGAUGAGAAGAUUUAUGUUUCUAAAUUCCUGAAAUCCUAAACCUCUGACUUCUGAACACACUCCGGAGAAUGGAGCCAUGCUGGAAUCACAUGGAACAAUAAACUGUGACACUUUCUUUUCAUUCACCUAGUCUUCUUGUUGGACAGGAAAGGAAAUUACCAUUCUUGCCCUCCUUGUUGAUGAGAUGCGUGUCUGGUAUAUAUUGGCCUGUGUGACUACAUUCAUUCUUUCCUGACUGCUUGAAGGAGCCAUGCUGGAAUCACGUGGAACAAUAAACUGUGAUAGGCUUUCUUGUGGGUUCCAAGUCUCUCGUUUCAACUAGUCUUCUGACUGACCGCUCUUGCCCACCUCCUUGUUGCUGAGAUGAUCGUCUGGUAUAUAUUGGGCUGCAUGACUAAGUUUGUUCUUUACAGACUGCAUGGAGAUGAGAAGAUUUGGGUUGCUAAAUGCCUGAAAUCCUAAACCUCUGACUUCUGAACAGCCUCCAGAGUGGUUAGGUUGUGUAAUAUUUAAAGCUGUGCCUUAUCUCAGGAUCUUAGAGCUGAUCUGGAUUAAAUUUGUGUAUGUAAUUUCAAUAUUUUUUAUAUACCCCCUAAAUUAAAAAAUAUAUAUAUUAGUCUUUUAUUGCUAUGAUAAAUGCAGUGAUCCUUUAAAACUGUAGGCAUUUGUGAUUCUUAGUGACUGUAUGCCAACUGAAUUUUCUUUUCUAAAUGUCUGCUCACUCCUUAUGACACCCCUCCCCUUGUCUGCAAAGUGUUUAGUGACAGAUAAUGUUCCUGUAUUCCUUCUGCACCAAACAUUAAAGUAUUUCUACUCCCAACAGUAGUGGAUUAUGUUUUUGUUUUUUUUCCAACAACCCCAUGGGUAAUCAGGAUUGCUCUCACCAGAGGAACAACGUGUAGCAAAUGGCGAGACGUGGCAAGAGAAAAUAGUAUAAAAAUGGACCGUCAUUUUCUUUUUCUGGAUUGUAAAACCAGAAAUAAAAGAUCUGUAAA